rnacentral:rRNA from 1 species
AGCAGUCGCCGCGGUAACACGGAGGGUGCAAGCGUUACUCGGAAUCACUGGGCGUAAAGGACGCGUAGGCGGAUUAUCAAGUCUCUCGUGAAAUCUAACGGCUUAACCGUUAAACUGCUUGGGAAACUGAUAAUCUAGAGUAAGGGAGAGGCAGAUGGAAUUCUUGGUGUAGGGGUAAAAUCCGUAGAGAUCAAGAAGAAUACCCAUUGCGAAAGCGAUCUGCUGGAACUUAACUGACGCUAAUGCGUGAAAGCGUGGGGAGCAAACAGGAUUAGAUACCCCCGUAGUCCCUGUCUCUUAUAC